rnacentral:lncRNA from 1 species
UGGGACUUCUAGGUGUCUGGAAUUUGAACAUGGGGAAUUUGAGAGCAUAGACGAUCUCUGCCUCUGACCUCCCCCUUUUCUGGGGAAAUGUGUUCUUGGUCCUCAGCCUGCUGGUGCAGCCCCUCCCAGGAAUCCCUGCCAGUGUGGGUCAUGGAGAUUGUGACUCAGUGGCAGAUUUCCCUUUCAGAGGAAGAAGCCAUUCUAACCGGCAGAAAAUGUUGCUGCAAUUUUCAGUAAAAUUAAGGGACAUGACAAAUUCUCAGAGGGUGCCAGGCAGGAAAGGCCACCUCAAUAGCAGAAGUACUCUGCCUGACUGCAUACUUUGGCAGACUGGUACAUUUUGCAAAAGUCACUCCUCAAAUGGUUUUCUGGAAGGAUACAAAAGACAUCUGCACCAUGGUAACCACAGUGGCGAGUGUUCAUUGUAGUACCUGUAAGAGUUUAUGACCAAAGGCAGGAGCCAUGAAGAAAAAAGACUCAAUAGAUUUGCUUUUGAUGAAACAACAACACUUCCAUACAGUGAACGCCAUAAGCACAACUGCAAGCAAACCGCAAACUGAAGAACAAAUAGGGCAAAAUGUGGCAGUGCAGACAUUUCAGCAUAUCAAGAGCACUUCCAAAUUACAGGAAAAAAAAGAUAUCUCAAUAGAUAAUUUUGCUGAAGAUAAGUGAAGGCAACUCAUAAGGAAAAAAUAUGUAAAAUGGCCGAUAGGAAAGAUGUUUAACGUCACUAAUUAAAAAUUAUAGAAUAAAACGACAAUAAAAUACCAUGUGUUUGCCUAUAAAACAA